rnacentral:piRNA from 1 species
UAUUAGGAGUUGGUUAGCCAAGACUUGGCAAC